AUUCUGUAGGACUAAGAAUAAAAGUUUUAUACUACUGGAAUGGAAAUGAAUACCCAGUUUUUCCCUGAGAGUUGGCACUAGCAUCUAGUUUCUGAAGACAUCAAGAUGCUGGAGUUCAAUUUUGUAGCAAGGUAGGAGGAGAGUGAGCUUGAACAACAUGGGGUGCAUCUGGAGACCUUUGAAGCUACUGCUGGGAUCAAGGAAUUAAAACUGGCAUGGCGUCAAAGAAGAUGGAAACACCUGCAGGCCUUCAGAAAGGAGAAAGAAGUGGGAGGUUUGGCAAUAAAGACAAAAUGUGUCAGGCCUGCGACUGGAGAUGUGUAUUUGUCAGAGGGGGCAUCUUGCGUGGAGGAACCUCUGUUCAUUGUUACCAAGAAUAGAAGACUUGAAAUCAUCCAGAACUCCUUAUGUUCACCACAGUCAAAGCAACCGGAAACAGCAGUGCUGAACUGUCAACAUAUACUGUGGGAAAAAGCAAAGAAGACGCCUUGGUAAGCAAACAAGACCCUCUCCAACAAGCACUGAACAGUCAUAUGUAC